GCACGACUCUCGGCAACGGAUAUCUCGGCUCUCGCCACGAUGAAGAACGCAGCGAAAUGCGAUACUUAGUGUGAAUUGCAGAAUCCCGUGAAUCAUCGAUUCUUUGAACGCAAGUUGCGCCUUGGGCCUCGGCCAAGGGCACGUCUGCUUGGGCGUCGCAU
rnacentral:rRNA from 2 species